AAGGGAAAAUUCAGCUUAAAAAACCCCAUAGCUUUUAUUACCAAAUUCAAGGACAAUUAAAUAUCUUUGAAAAACCAUGGUGUAAUUUUGUGGUAAGACGAUCAAAACCAUAUGACAUGUUCAUUGAACGAAUACAAAGGAACUGUAAAUUAUGGGAGACGCAAAUGUUACCCAAAUUGCUAGCCUUCUAUAUGAAGUUCAUGCUUCCUGAAAUAGCCCUCCCAAGAAUGGGAACAUAUACUGGAAUUAGACAACCAAACAAACCAUGGUUCAUUCCUAGUCAACGAGUUGAAUUGACGAAGACAAAAUGUACAAGUGUUUCCAAGCCAUUAGUAAAACCGUCAAAAUUGGUAGUACAUGUAGAUGAUCAAAUAGCGGGUCCAUCCCAUCUAUGCGAUGAUACAUUGACUGAUGUCAAUAACAAUUCAACACCAAAGGAAAAGACGGUGAUCCACAAGCGGUACAUGAAGUCCUGUAUAAAGGAGAAGACAGCCCAUAUGAGGUGGAUGGUCUUCAACGGGAUUUGGAUGAAGGCUCGUUGAAGUUCGUUGAUAUAUAGACAAGAAAACAUUGCGAAAAAGGUUCCAGCUGCUGUCAGUGGAUAUAUGAAUACACGAAGAAAAUAAGGACUUACAACUCCCAAGAAGAAAGUGGUUUAUGAG